UGGGGGUCAAAAUAUAAUUUAAGAAAAGCGUGUCACGUAGGAUGCGCAGUCAGCAACCCCGACGAACUGGAGCGCGCCACGUGGCAAGGCACAUAGGCGCGUUGCCAUGUGAGAUGCCACGCUGGCGAUCUGCGUACCCACGAUCGAGCGGUCCAGAUUUGUUCCUGCGCGCACAGACGAUCCGGAUCCAUUCUCCAUUUAAACGCAAUUGAAAGGUUCAGAUCAAAUCGCGAUAAACGGUCCAGAUUCAUUGCCUAUUUAAACACGAUCGGACGAUCCAGAUCAAACGCAAUGGACAACCCAGAUUAAAAGGAAACAGAUAUAAAUAACCAUCUUCACGCCAAACCCUAACCCUAGCCGCUAGACCCCCCAGCCGGAGAAGAAGAGCCAGUCGCCGGGAAGAGAUCCGAUCGCCGCCUGCCACUGCGCCGGAGCCACUUUCGAUCGGCAAAAGAGGUAAAAUUUUUCCUGUAUGCUCGAAAUUUAAUUUUGAACACACCCAUGACAAAAUUAGAGCAAAAGGAUUAGCGAAUGAGCCGAAAAUCGCGGGCAAAGCCCAGCGACGCCGCUAUGGGAAAAAGUAAAAACUGCCUCCGAUGAGGCCCUUUCCGAUUCCCGUUUCGUAUAAUUUUUUCACCAUUGUAAUCACCAUCCCUUUCUCUACAGGUUGACUAAAGUAAAACACCC
rnacentral:lncRNA from 1 species